CGAGGACAGAGGAGAGGGUUUUGUCCCCCCCCCCCCGCCCUUCCCCGGCUUUGCACGCAUGCGCGCCUCCCGAGGUGGUUUCCUUUCUUAUUCCUCCCCUCGGCGCCUGCGCGGUUUUGGGGAGGCAUUUGGCGCGGAGGAGCGGAAUUUCCUACCUAAAUCCUAAUGGCUUUACUGAAAAGGUCCCUGGGAUUAUUCCUACCACAAUUAUGUAGAGCAACAAAUCAAAGAAAUUUCAGCCUCAGCGGACUCUGUGGUGCCAUACAGAAGAUGACCCGCGUCCGAGUGGUAGAUAACAGUGCCUUGGGAAACACACCCUACCAUCGGCCUCCAAAAUGCAUCCAUGUCUACAACAAAAAUGGAGUGGGCAAAGUAGGUGACAAAAUCCUGCUAGCUAUCAAAGGGGAAAAGAAAAAAGCCUUAAUUGUUGGUCACAAGAUGCCCGGUCCUCGUAUGACCCCCAGGUUUGAUUCAAACAAUGUGGUGCUUAUUGAAGAUAACGGGAACCCGGUUGGGACGAGGAUCAAAACGCCAAUACCCUCCUUUCUUCGGAAACGGCAAGACUUCUCGAAGAUAUUGGCCAUUGCCCAGAAUUUUGUGUGACAAGCAAGGCAGUUGUAAUGUAUCAUCUUAACAAAUGACAUUUUUUCAGUUUGAUUUCUCCAAAUUUUGAGGAAUUAAAAUGAAAUAAAUCUGAGAUGUCUUUGUAGUGGUACGUGAACUAAAAGACUGUUACUAAAAGUUCUGUUCAAGGAUAUAUUGUUCCUUUUUUUUUUUGCAAGAGUUGUUCUAACAUGGUAUAAUUUAAGUUCAGGUUGUCAGUCCACUGUUUUUAUUGGCAUGAUGGCUUUCUCAGCCUUUAUUCUUUUGUGAUAUUUCAUAUUGUUUAUACAAACUUUGUCCAGGCUGUUGCCAGCAAAAGCAACUUCCCAAAACAGAAAAAAGGAUAGUAUGAGGAAAUAUUGAUGUUAUGGUUUCAAUAAAGAGGAACAGAAAAGUUGGAGAAGAGAAAAAACACAGUUGUGUUCCCAUUGUGCUCCUUUGUGUUUUUAUCAAUACUUUAAAAUAAAAACACUCUCUAAUUUUUCCAGUA